rnacentral:lncRNA from 1 species
CUCGAAAUCUGCAGACAUCUUGAUUUUUCCCACGCUGUCUGUCAGGUCUCCGCCGCCACUCGACGCCAGGGCGCCGGGCCUUGUGGGCUGUGCUGCACCUCGGACGGCUUCGCACCAGCCAGCGCCCUCUCUCUCCUGCAGCACUCUGAUCUGCACCCCCUGAGGGGCUUCCACUGUCCGCGGGGUGAGAAUGCCCCUGGGAGUGUCACAUGACUGCCGCCCCAUGUGUGUGAGAGGCGUCCUCUGGGAGAGCAUGGAUCCUGAGGUCCCAGGAUUGUCAGCUGACCUCUGUCCUGUGUGCCCAGUGGCCCCAGGUGACGUGUCUUCAAGAAGAGGCUGAGCUGCGGUGCUUGUAAGGGUCUCAUUCUGUCACCCAGGCUGGAGUGCAGUGGUGCAAUGAUGGCUCACUGCAGCCUCGACCUGGGCUCAAGUGAUCCUCCACCUCAGCUUCCUGAGUAGCUGGGACCACAGGUCUCAGCCUUAGAUCCAAGGACAGUCCAAGGAAGUCCUAAGACCAUGGAGUUGGUGAUCUGGGAUCUGGGUUUGCUGAUAUUUCUCACCGUGAAUCUCUUGGUGGUGUUUGUGGGCACGAGAGGGGCAGAGAAUGGAGAGUGAGGCUACCACAUGAAGCGUCACCAGAGCUGCUCCCUGCUGCCUGCUCAGAGCACCCCGGAUCCACUGUUCAAUCUGCACAAGAUUCGGGGUCCAGACAUGGGAGACUUCAGCUGCCUCAGAGGACCGUGGACAGGGAAGGCCAGCCUCGCAUCCCUCUGUCCAUGCCUGGAAUGACUUUAAUAACCAAGAGUUUUAUUUUUGAAUUUGUAGCUGUCGUUCACUUUUUACCCACCCAUUCAAUAAACCUUACAGAAUUG